UCCUGAGACCUGCCUGGAUGAGGGGUCCAUGGAGCUCUCUGUCCCCUGGGAAUAAGGUUCUGUCUGAAGUCUGGACAGGCUGCCGUGCCAGGUGCCGUGGGCAGGCCCUGCUGUUGGACCCAGGAUGGUGCUGCCACAGCAGGGGGUUGUGCACGGCAGUCGGCAUCUGGCUGGGACGUGGCAGCUGUCCAGGAAACCGUGGUCCUCGCUGCCCGGUGCUGUGGGCUCCUCAGAGCCACCAGGGUGUUCUGUCAAGGCGGCUAUUGCCCAAGGUGUUCCUGUGUCUGCUUAAGUCGUGUCUCCCCACACAGGCCUAGGACUUGGAGUUGCACCUCCCAUACCCUUGGCCCCUGCUGGUUUCCGGGUCCCCAUGCAUCCCCAGCAUGUCCUGCCCCUCCCUCCCUGCUCCUCAGCCCAGGGUGGCUUUGAAUGCUUUCUUCACUCAACACAAUCUGUUGAACAUCAAUAAAGUGGACCUAGUUCCUGCCAAAACUGGGGUCCUUUGGGGUCAACAGAUGCCAGAUGCCCAGUCUCAGAGCCAAGCAGUCACAGUAGGGUGAGUAGUAAGUAGGGAGGGGUGGCACCAAGUCUACAGAGACACCAGGAGGACUCAGAGGAGGUGACCUGAGUGGGCCUGUCCACCGUGCAGGACUGACUGAAGAGUUGGGCAUAGGAGAAGCCCUCCAGCGGGGGAGCAGGUGCAGGGUGCCCUUCUGUGCCUGGGGCUCUGUCGGAGGCACAGGGUCACCUCUCCCCUGGGGGUAUCUCUGUACCAUCUUUCAGGGAAGGGAAGGUACCUUGGGACGUAGAAGAGCAGGUGUUAGCCCGAGAGCUCCAGGUCACACAGCCAUCUUCUUGGGCUUUUGUUUUCCUCUGGCUCAGCAAUUUUCAACCUUUUCCAUCUCAUGGCACAUAAACUAAUUACUAAAUUCUGCAGCACACCAAAAGAUAUAAUUUUUGCCGAUCUGACCAAAAAAUAGAGUAUAAUUGCCCUAGCCGGUUUGCCUCAGUGGAUAGAGCAUCAGCCUGCGGACCAAAGGAUCCCGGGUUCGAUUCUGGUACCUUGGUUGCAGGCUCCGCCCUGGUCAGGGCUCGUGCAGGAGAUCACCAAUCAAUGUGUUUCUCUCUGUCUUCCCUUCUCUCU